UGGGGAAUAUUGGACAAUGGGCGCAAGCCUGAUCCAGCCAUGCCGCGUGAGUGAUGAAGGCCUUAGGGUUGUAAAGCUCUUUUAGCGGGGACGAUAAUGACGGUACCCGCAGAAAAAGCCCCGGCCAACUUCGUGCCAGCAGCCGCGGUAAUACGAAGGGGGCUAGCGUUGCUCGGAAUCACUGGGCGUAAAGCGUACGUAGGUGGGUCGUUAAGUCGAGGGUGAAAUCCCAGGGCUCAACCCUGGAACUGCCUUCGAUACUGGCGACCUUCGAGUCCGGGAGAGGUGAGUGGAACUGCGAGUGUAGAGGUGAAAUUCGUAGAUAUUCGCAAGAACACCAGUGGCGAAGGCGGCUCACUGGCCCGGUACUGACACUGAGGUACGAAAGCGUGGGGAGCAAACAGG
rnacentral:rRNA from 1 species